GCAUAUCAAUAAGCGGAGGAAAAGAAACCAACAGGGAUUGCCUUAGUAACGGCGAGUGAAGCGGCAACAGCUCAAAUUUGAAAUCUGGCCCUCGGGUCCGAAUUGUAAUUUGUAGAGGAUGAUUUUGGUGCGGUAUCUUCCGAGUUCCUUGGAACAGGACGCCUUAGAGGGUGAGAGCCCCGUACGGUUGAAUGCCUAGCCUCUGUAAAUCUCCUUCGACGAGUCGAGUAGUUUGGGAAUGCUGCUCUAAAUGGGAGGUAAAUUUCUUCUAAAGCUAAAUAUUGGCCAGAGACCGAUAGCGCACAAGUAGAGUGAUCGAAAGAUGAAAAGCACUUUGAAAAGAGGGUUAAAUAGCACGUGAAAUUGUUGAAAGGGAAGGAUUUGUGACCAGACUUUUUCUGGGCGGAUCAUCCGGGGUUCUCUCCGGUGCACUUUGCCCAGUAAAGGCCAGCAUCGAUUUUCGGCGGCGGAUAAAAGCAGUGGGAAUGUGGCUCCCCACGGGGAGUGUUAUAGCCCAUUGUAUAAUACGCUGCUGGGGAUCGAGGUACGCGCUUCUGCAAGGAUGCUGGCGUAAUGGUUAUCAAUCACCCGUCUUGAAACACGGACCAAGGAGUCGAACAUUUAUGCGAGUGUUUGGGUGUUAAACCCUCACGCGUAAUGAAAGUGAACGGAGGUGAGAGCCCGUACGGGUGCAUCAUCGACCGAUCCUGAAGUUUUCGGAUGGAUUUGAGUAAGAGCAUAACUGUUCGGACCCGAAAGAUGGUGAACUAUGCGUGGAUAGGGUGAAGCCAGAGGAAACUCUGGUGGAGGCUCGCAGCGGUUCUGACGUGCAAAUCGAUCGUCAAAUCUGCGCAUGGGGGCGAAAGACUAAUCGAACCAUCUAGUAGCUGGUUACGCGAA
rnacentral:rRNA from 1 species